rnacentral:rRNA from 1 species
AGUGAACGCUGGCGGUAGGCCUAACACAUGCAAGUCGAACGGCAGCACAGUAAGAGCUUGCUCUUACGGGUGGCGAGUGGCGGACGGGUGAGGAAUACAUCGGAAUCUACUUUUUCGUGGGGGAUAACGUAGGGAAACUUACGCUAAUACCGCAUACGACCUACGGGUGAAAGCAGGGGAUCUUCGGACCUUGCGCGAUUGAAUGAGCCGAUGUCGGAUUAGCUAGUUGGCGGGGUAAAGGCCCACCAAGGCGACGAUCCGUAGCUGGUCUGAGAGGAUGAUCAGCCACACUGGAACUGAGACACGGUCCAGAGUCCUACUGGAGGCAGCAGUGGGGAAUAUUGGACAAUGGGCGCAAGCCUGAUCCAGCCAUACCGCGUGGGUGAAGAAGGCCUUCGGGUUGUAAAGCCCUUUUGUUGGGAAAGAAAAGCAGCAGGUUAAUACCCCGCUGUUCUGACGGUACCCAAAGAAUAAGCACCGGCUAACUUCGUG